rfam:Gossypium hirsutum cultivar TM-1 unplaced genomic scaffold scaffold1851.1, whole genome shotgun sequence
UGUUAAAAAUUUCCUCUAUUUUUACCAUUAAAAAUUGGUUUGGUUGAUAAAAUAACUAAAUAGUGUCACAUGUAUUUUAUACUAACAUACAGUGACCAAUUUUUAACGGUUCAAAUAGAUGUAAUUUUUAACA